rnacentral:sRNA from 1 species
AAGAAAGUGACUGCCGCCCCGCACAGGGGCGAAGCUAAUAAACCAAUAUCAAAUCAAGUUUCACGAGGGCGCAAGCGCAUCGAGCGGUUCAGCCAGGAAGGCCCCAAGCACCAGCGACAA